UAAGNGGAGGAAAAGAAACUAACAAGGAUUCCCCUAGUAACUGCGAGUGAAGCGGGAAAAGCUCAAAUUUAAAAUCUGGCGGUCUUUGNCCGUCCGAGUUGUAAUUUAGAGAAGCGUCUUCCGCGCCGGACCGUGCACAAGUCUCCUGGAAUGGAGCGUCAUAGAGGGUGAGAAUCCCGUCUUUGGCACGGAUGCCCGGUGCUUCUGUGAUGCGCUCUCGAAGAGUCGAGUUGUUUGGGAAUGCAGCUCAAAAUGGGUGGUGAACUCCAUCUAAAGCUAAAUAUUGGCGAGAGACCGAUAGCGAACAAGUACCGUGAGGGAAAGAUGAAAAGCACUUUGGAAAGAGAGUGAAACAGUACGUGAAAUUGUUGAAAGGGAAACGCUUGAAGUCAGUCGCGUCGACCGAGACUCAGCCUUGCCUCGGCUUGGUGUACUUCUCGGCCCGACGGGUCAGCGUCGAUUUCGCUCCUCGGAUAAUGGCAAGGGAAAGGUGGCACCUUUACGGGUGUGUUAUAGUCUCCUGUCGCAUGCGAGGGGUGGGAUCGAGGAACUCAGCGCGCACCUUGGUGUCGGGGCUUCUGCCCACGUCACGCGCUUAGGAUGCUGGCGUAAUGGCUUUAAACGACC
rnacentral:rRNA from 1 species